CUUAAGCUCUCUAUUAUAAAGAGGGCUUGCUAGUAUGUAUGAUGCAUGUGUAUAAAUUGUGAUGGCAAUCACUUAGCUGCUGACCACCAGAAAUUAAAAGAUGGUGGGAGCUUUUAAAUAUAUAAAUCUGUGUUGUCCAUUCAGACUGGGCUCAAGUCUCCACUUGGGUCUGAAAAUCAACCACAAUAGCUUUUUUCUUAUAGUAUUGGUACUCUCCUGUGUUAAUGGGCUGUUCUUUCUUAUUUUGUAUGAAGUUUUUUAUGAAGCCGCAGUACUGAGUACACAAAGUGACUAUUGUCCACCAAAGAGUGCUUUAUUUUCAAGGGUUGUGUGGUUUGUUUAUUUUUAAAUACACUAACUGUGAUUAACUUGUUUUUAAUAGUAAUAGAUAUUUAGUUGUUCACAACCAAUGGCACUUUUAACUAGUUGCAAUUGCUUUAAAUCUGGUACGAUUUCAAGGGGGGGGAAAAACAAUUUACCAUUUAAAGGAGUGCCGUCAUAUUGAAAUGUCAUUACUGUUUCUUUCCCUAUCUUCAAGUCUUUUAGGUGAAACUUCAGAUUAGCAUACCUAAUAGGUAAGAUUUUUUCCCAGGUUUUAUUGGUACACUUGACAUCUGUAUGUCAAGUGCACAGUGACAUGUGGAUGUCACUGUUUUUUAGCUUUGAGACACUUAAUGAGUGCAGCACACUAAAAAGGGAAAAUAGGCUUGCGGUACAGCUGAGAUUGGUAGUGGAACUCAGGGGUGAGAAUAGUUUUUUAACAUCUAAUUAACACUUUAAAAACUACAGCUUCUCUCUGUUAAAAAGCAGUGUAAUUUUUAGAGAGAGCUGUCUGACGAUUUCAUCCACUACAAGACUGUCUUCAAACACUGGCAGCAUUUUUUCCCUAUCACUUUCCGCAUUAUGAAAUCUCAAAGCUGAAGUUUAUAGCUGCAUAUCCCUCAGACGAGGACUGUUACCACAUAGCCUUAAAUAUGAUAGAGUUAUGUGUUGCUUUAGUGACUCUUAACAGUAGAAAAAACAGAAGAAAUUGAGACAUCUGAAAUGUUAGCAGUGGAAUAACGGAAGAUUUUAAAUAUACAGAUUACCUCUGCACAGGGAAGAAUUUUCUUUUUAUGAAUGUAAGUGGGCAAGUUUGGUGACUAGUUUAAAUCUACAUCCUUUUAAAUUAAAAUUAAACUGUUAGGCUGGUGAUUUUUGAAUUCCAAUAUGAAUAACCACACACUGGCUUGAAAACAUUUUGUGGCAAAAGCAUCAUGAGUUGGAGAGGAAGCAAGAUGUAAGCUUACUUACUAUCUGUGAGUUUGGAUAGUCAAAAUCUGCAAAUACAGAUAAAACAGAAAAGGCUUAUAUGGUGCAAAAUAAAGGACCACUGAGGCUCAGAUUUUGUUUUCCUCUUACUCUUAACCCUCACGACCAUUUUCUUUCAAGUGAAAGCACAUAAAAGAGAGGGACUGAAUUCACCCUGAUACAGUGAUUAAAAUUUGUAUUUUUCUUCUUGUUUCUUUUUUUUAAGCCGUUUGCCCAAAAGCUGAAGUACAGGUAACUACAGUAGUAGAUAUGUUAUGCAAACAUGAACCUGUGUUUAUUUUUGACAGAAAUUCUUACCUUGGAAGGCAGAAGGGAUGUAACUAGUGAUGUGAGAGGAUGAGAGUCAAUACAAGAAGUAAUAUUUAUUGUGUUUGGCCUUAUGCUUCUCUCAGCUGAGCUUCCUGUUUUACCAUCUUUGUUCUAACCUAAAAAUAACCAGUCUAUUUCACACUCCUUAUGAAUUCCAAAUUGGAAUUUGCUUUUUUUAAAGUAACCAGCAUAGCCAUUAGCACUUUCAGGCUUAUCAGAAGUAAGCUUGCAUAAAACAAGUGCACAAACAUACACAACAGGAACUCUAGCUAAACCAAAACUGCAUGUUUGGCAUGAGUAUGUUUCAAGAUACCCCUUCCACCUCCCAGUAUCUUUGUGAGAAACAUAUAAAUAUCAAAGGCAUUUUACAUUUGAACUCUCCAAACAGCCUUAAAUGGAAAAUUAACUCAUUACCUCAUUGUGUCCCAUCUAAUUGUAUUGUUUAGUUUGUUCUUCUGAAUUUUUAGUAUUUUGUCUAGCAUUUUUAUUGUACCAUACCAAAGCUGUCUUAAGUGCAAGAACGAAGAGUGGGCAUGGGUGAGGGUUGGUGGGCAGGGUUUCUCAAUCUUUUUUGACUUAUAUGGGGUAGUAUGUGCCAAAAUGGAAUGUGUGGUGGUAGCUGCAUCACCAUUGCACCAUGGAGCAGCUGAAGGAAGUUAUUUCUGCAGUCAUCAAUUAGAAGUUUUCCCUUAGAAAUUCUUUCCCCCCUUUCAGAUAUAUGACAGAUGGAAUCUUCUUUGAUCUCUUACUCAAAAGUAUGCAACAUAUUCAAAAGCUGUAAUAUCUUGUGUCAAAUUGCUAGCUCCCAUUACAGCAUCAGCAUGUUAACUUGGAUGUUAACCCAUACGUUGUCUUUUUGCCCCAGUAUGACAAUAGAGGAAGUGCUGCUGAUUUAAAGCAAAAUAAAAUUUGUAGAGACUCGUGCAUUAAAAUGAAAAAAAAAGAAAAAUGUGAUGUUCACCAGUUUGUUGCACUGCAGUUUUUAUAGUAAUGGUUUGCAGACUGUUUGUCUUGCGUAAACUCAUGUACAGACUAUCAAGAUCUAAAAUUCCUGAUCUGUUCAUCCUGAUUAUUUUAAAAUUGUAUAUUUCUAAUCAUAUUUUUUUAACUUAGAUUGACAGUUUAUUUUGCUGACAGUAUUUUUAAGAUAAAGCUUCAUAUUAUCUUGUAAUAUUAAGUAGUUCAAUAUGCAUUUGUGUCUCAUGGGAAAAUAUUGCAUAUUGAUUUUAUACGAAAUACUGAAUAGUGAGAAUUGUAAACAUGAAUUGUGUAAAAUUAAACAUAAUAAG
rnacentral:lncRNA from 1 species